UCCUGGCUCAGGAUGAACGCUGGCGGCAUGCCUAAUACAUGCAAGUCGAACGAAGCUGAUUGGAAGCUUGCUUCUGAAAGGCUUAGUGGCGAACGGGUGAGUAACACGUAGGGAACCUGCCCAGAUCACGGGGAUAACGGUUGGAAACGACAGCUAAGACCGGAUAGGUGAUGACGAGGCAUCUUGUCAUCAUGAAAAGAGCUACGGCUCUGGAGCUGGAUGGACCUGCGGCGCAUUAGCUAGUUGGUGAGGUAACGGCCCACCAAGGCGAUGAUGCGUAGCCGGCCUGAGAGGGCGAACGGCCACAUUGGGACUGAGACACGGCCCAAACUCCUACGGGAGGCAGCAGUAGGGAAUUUUCGUCAAUGGGGGGAACCCUGAACGAGCAAUGCCGCGUGUGUGAAGAAGGUCUUCGGAUCGUAAAGCACUGUUGUAAGUGAAGAAUGCCAUAUAGAGGAAAUGCUAUGUGGGUGACGGUAGCUUACCAGAAAGCCACGGCUAACUACGUGCCAGCAGCCGCGGUAAUACGUAGGUGGCAAGCGUUAUCCGGAAUCAUUGGGCGUAAAGGGUGCGUAGGUGGCACGAUAAGUCUGAAGUAAAAGGCAACAGCUCAACUGUUGUAUGCUUUGGAAACUGUCGAGCUAGAGUGCAGAAGAGGGCGAUGGAAUUCCAUGUGUAGCGGUAAAAUGCGUAGAUAUAUGGAGGAACACCAGUGGCGAAGGCGGUCGCCUGGUCUGUAACUGACACUGAUGCACGAAAGCGUGGGGAGCAAAUAGGAUUAGAUACCCUAGUAGUCCACGCCGUAAACG
rnacentral:rRNA from 1 species